rfam:Drosophila virilis strain TSC#15010-1051.87 Ctg01_13793, whole genome shotgun sequence.
UGAAAAUUGAACGCUUAAGUAGUUAAUACAAGGGCGAGUUUUUUCUUGCAUCGCAUUGUGUGACCUACUUAAAUGACAAAUUUUCA